rnacentral:sRNA from 1 species
AUGUACCCACGUACACUCUCCGCGCCGGCCGCACCCACCUGACGACUGCUCGCUACGUUUUGUUAGCC